rnacentral:lncRNA from 1 species
UUCCUUUUUUCACCCUCUCUCACAUCAGCGUCACCUGCUAACAUCAUCCUCCCUGGCCAGGCCCAAUUUACUGUCCAACAACCAGAGACUACACAUUCAGUGAAUGUCUUGUGGUGUUGUACACACGCACACACACUUGACAGAUUGAAGGCAGAAAAGGAAGCAAAGAGAGUUUUCCUGGAAGAAGGUCUAUUUGAUUUGGAGUAUAUUUUUCUAUGGUUUCUCUGACAACAUGGAGUACUUCUUUUUGAAAGGAUUUCUGUUGGUUUUGUUAACACGUCACCGCACAUCUGAAGGUCUGUCAACACCUGUUCAAUCCUCCUCCAAGGUCACCCUCCAAGGUGGCCGGACCUUAUCCAUAGAAUCAGAGCUGCCACCUGCAGAGGUAGUGCCAGUAUUGGCCCCUCCGAGCCUGAAGGAGGUGCAUCAAGCUGUACAGGAAGCCUCGGAGCAGGUGGAAGGUCGUGGGGCAGAGGAAGUGCUGAAGGAGCUACUGGAGAGGGUGGUAGGGGCAGCUCUGGGGCAGGUGGACGGAGGGAGUGAAGUGAAAGCAGAUGAGGGAGCAGGAAAGUUGCAGGAAGUGGUUGAAGAGGAUGCACUGUACGUUGAAAAAGGAGCUGAAGCCAUCUUAGAGGCCAAGGUGUUGGAACAGGCAGUGGAAAAGGAGCUGGAAGGUGAAGAUAUUGUCACCAAGGAAGGGUAUGCUGGUGUUGGGGAGAAGCAGGAGGUAGCAGAGGUGGAUGAAUUGGAAGAUGUAGCUGAAAAAGAGAAAGGAAUUACUGAGGGUGAGAGUGAAACUGCUGCUGGAUCUGUGGAGGAGACCACAGCACGUUUAGAAACUGGAGGCAGCAAAGCAGAUGGUGUGGAGGUUACCAAUGAGUCUCUAGACACUGGAGUCGGUCAGGGGGUUGCAGAGGCAACAUUACCUGUCUUAGAAGAAACAGGAGGCGAUUCAGCAGUAGAGGAGGCAGGGGUGGAAGGCAACAACAAGCAGGUUGAGUCGACAGAGGAAAAGGGAGCAGCAGAAACUGACAUACAGGAAGCAGAGGAAACUCAAGCUACUGUGGAGGUGGCAGUGGAUGAAGAGACAGAGAAGGAGACUGUGGAAGAGUCUAACCUGUCUAACCUUAACCUGUCUGUGGCUGAUGUGGAGCAGUUAGCAGAUGUACUGCCAGAGGAAGAAGCACAGAAGGAAGAAACCGCGGAAGAUGAAUUAGAAAAAGAUGAGACAGUACUGCCAUCUGAUAAUUAUGAGCCAGAGACCAGACAAACUGCAGCAGGAGAGCUGGUAGCGGAGGAGAAAGAGGUAGUGAUGGACACAGAAGGACCAGAAGUAGAGGACAAACAGGACCAUUUAGUGGUGGAGGGAGGAGCUGCUGAAGAGGUAGAAACAGAAGGUACAGAUGUGGGGGAGGCAGCAGGAGGUGAAAGAGAUGGAGAGAGUGAAAUAAAGGAAGAAUCUGUGGCACUGGUGAAUGAGGGGGGUGACCAACAAGCAGGAGAAGAGGUCACAUUGAUGACGUCACAUGGCAGUGAAAAGGGGAAUCAAGAAAUGCUGGUGAUCUCUGCCCCAGAGCCUGGAGAUGGUGCUGAAGCCUCAAUAGAGCAGAACACCGAGAACCAGGCUCCCACCCCGAGCCCAUCCCUAGGUGGGGUAGAGAAGGGAGAGAAUAGCCUUGGUGAUGAGAAAUCAAACCAUGGCAACGAGAUCAUCACCCCUACUGAUGACCUUUUGCCACACAACCCGGAUGUGGCCCAACCUACACUGGAUAAUUCUGUGAAGGAUGCUUCUACCUGA